rnacentral:rRNA from 1 species
UACGUAGGGGGCAAGCGUUAUCCGGAAUUACUGGGCGUAAAGGGUGCGUAGGUGGUCUGCCAAGUUAGGGGUCAAAGGCAACGGCUCAACCGUUGUUCGCCCCUAAAACUGGCGGACUUGAGUUCUGGAGGGGAAAUCGGAAUUCCUAGUGUAGCGGUGAAAUGCGUAGAUAUUAGGAGGAACACCAGUGGCGAAGGCGGAUUUCUGGACAGAUACUGACACUGAGGCACGAAAGCGUGGGGAGCAAACAGG